rnacentral:rRNA from 1 species
GGCGGACGGGUGAGUAAUGCUUAGGAAUCUGCCCAGUAGUGGGGGAUAGCCCGGGGAAACCCGGAUUAAUACCGCAUACGUCCUACGGGAGAAAGCAGGGGAUCUUCGGACCUUGCGCUAUUGGAUGAGCCUAAGUCGGAUUAGCUAGUUGGUGGGGUAAAGGCCUACCAAGGCGACGAUCCGUAGCUGGUCUGAGAGGAUGAUCAGCCACAUCGGGACUGAGACACGGCCCGAACUCCUACGGGAGGCAGCAGUGGGGAAUAUUGGACAAUGGGGGCAACCCUGAUCCAGCCAUGCCGCGUGUGUGAAGAAGGCUUUCGGGUUGUAAAGCACUUUCAGUAGGGAGGAAAACCUUAUGGUUAAUACCCAUGAGGCUUGACGUUACCUACAGAAGAAGCACCGGCUAACUCCGUGCCAGCAGCCGCGGUAAUACGGAGGGUGCAAGCGUUAAUCGGAAUUACUGGGCGUAAAGCGCGCGUAGGUGGUUUGGUAAGCGAGAUG